GACGAACGCUGGCGGCGUGCUUAACACAUGCAAGUCGAACGGAAAGGCCCUGCUUUUGUGGGUUUCUCGAUUGGCGAACGGGUGAGUAACACGUGAGUAACCUGCCCUUGACUUUCUGAGAACUUCAGGAAACUGGGGCGAUUACCGGAGAGAAGCUCCUGCUGCAUGGUGGGGGUUGGAAAGUGUGGGCGGUUGGGGAUGGACUCGCGGCUUAUCAGCUUGUUUGUGUGGUAGUUGCUUACCAAGGCUUUGACGGGUAGCCGGCCUGAGAGCGUGACCGGCGACAUUGGGACUGAGAUAGGCAGCAGACUCCUACGGGAGGCAGUAGUGGGGAAUCUUGCGCAAUGGGCGGGCGCCUGAUGCAGAAAUGUCCCGUGCGGGAUGCCGGGUUUCGGGUUGUAAACCGCUUUGGAAUGUACCGAAGCGUGAGUGACGGUAAUGGGUAAAGAAGCAACGGCUAACUACGUG
rnacentral:rRNA from 1 species